rnacentral:misc_RNA from 1 species
AGCCAAUUACCACAGUCCCUCACCACCCAGAGAAACUUCCGCCCCGACGCUUCCAGCCCCACUGCCAGCUCCUGGAGCUGCUCCUCGCUAAAGUGACACCAGCUUCCGAAACAUACAUACACCACCGACCCCGGCUUCUGCUCAUCCAACCAACUAAUACAGCUGUGUCCGCUCACUGCUACGAUGCCUCUGUCGGCGGCAGCAACGGCGAUCGGACCAACAAACCACGUCCUCGGGUAAAACACAGACGCCGACUUCCGUAACGCGUCGCAGUACUCUGGCUCCAGUUCAUAAUAAGUAUUGACCACCGCCCCGAACCGCAUAGAUUUCAUCUCUACCGCCUUUUUCGAAAGCUGCUUGAACUCUUCAUCAUCGGCGGUGGCCUCAGAUGGCUGCAUAUACCACCGUGGGAGCUCCGACUUCGGGAUCUCGAUAGCUCGCCCCGGUAAGCCGGGGAUGACGACAGGGCCGUCAACACCAUAAUCAACAUGUUGAAUGGCGCCGAUCACCAGUUGGGGGAAAGCCCCGACGACGACAAAGGUCAGGCAGGGGACGGCGAGAUGGUUAGCAGUGUUGAGAGCCCACCAGUAGUGGUAGUCGGCAAUGAUGGCGUCGGGGCGUUCGUCGCAGAUGAUGGGGUCGACGGUGUCGCCGAUAAGACUGGCGGCUUUGUCAAAUUUCCAGGACUCGGAGGAGGGGGCGGAGGCGAUGUUCUCCUGGCCGGGGGCGAGGUCAAGCUCGGCAGAAGGGAAGGGGUAGAUGAGGAGGCGGACGUGGCGGCCGAGGGCAGCGGAGCGGGCGAGGGACGGACGGAUGAUGUCGGCGUUGGCUGCGGAGAGUAGGAUGGUUGGCUCGACGUCGGGCCUGGACGCCAUGAUGCUGGCUAGUUCGAACAUGGGGAUGAUGUGGCCGGUUGCGAAGAAGGGCAUGAUGAAGACUCGGAGCUUCUUGGCCGCUUCGCCAACCUCUAGAGGAG